CUUGAUAAACUUAUAAGAGGUCCAGCCUGCCCAGUGACUCUGUUCAACGGCCGCGGUAUCCUAACCGUGCGAAGGUAGCGUAAUCACUUGUUCUUUAAAUGAGGACUAGUAUGAAUGGCACCACGAAGGUUAUACUGUCUCCUUUUUCUAAUCAGUGAAACUAAUCUUCCCGUGAAGAAGCGGGAAUAAAAAUAUAAGACGAGAAGACCCUAUGGAGCUUUAAACAAAUAUACACCUGCCUUCCAAUUAAAAAAUUUCAGUAGACAAAUAAUUACCCAGGCAUUUUGAUAUAGCGUUUUAGGUUGGGGUGACCGCGGAGCAAAAAACAACCUCCGCAACGAACGGGAAAUCUUUCCCUAAACCAAGGGCCACGACCCCAAGUAUCGAUAAAUCGACACUAAUUGACCCAAUAAAUUUGAUCAAUGAAC
rnacentral:rRNA from 1 species